AACCAUAGAAACCUGCGGAGUACCUGCGGAGGGAUCAUUACAGAGUUGCAAAACUCCCUAAACCAUCGUGAACGUUACCUAAACCGUUGCUUCGGCGGGCGGCCCGGGUCCUUCCCGGCGCCCCUCGGCCCUCGCGGGCGCCCGCCGGAGGUAAACCAAACUAUUGCAUUGUAUGGCCUCUCUGAGUCUUCUGUACUGAAUAAGUCAAAACUUUUAACAACGGAUCUCAGAUCGGAAGAG
rnacentral:misc_RNA from 1 species